UGGCCUCAAAUCAGGGAGGAUCACCCGCCGAAUUUAA
rnacentral:rRNA from 1 species